UGCCCCUCUAGGUCGCACCUGGAGAGUUUCCAGUACUCUACCGGUCUCGGCUACGGGAGGGAGAGUCAAGCAGAGGUCUCUCCGUUCCAUUCCUAGCUUGGCCAGUGGCUAGCGAGCGGAAGGCAGUCUGCUACAAGU